GCUCCAGUGGCGCAAUUGGUCAGUGCGUGUUACUUAUAAGACAGUACAAUGCUUAGCAACGCCGAAAUUGUGAGUUCAAAUCUCAUCUGGAGAA
rfam:Danio rerio chromosome 7, GRCz11 reference primary assembly.